CCUACGGGUGGCAGCAGUGAGGAAUAUUGGUCAAUGGGAGGAAGCCUGAACCAGCCAUGCCGCGUGCAGGACGACGGCUCUACGAGUUGUAAACUGCGUUUGUACGGGGGUAAAAUGCUCUACGAGUAGGGUUUUGAAAGUACGGUACGAAUAAGGAUCGGCUAACGCCGUGCCAGCAGCCGCGGUAAGACGGAGGAACCGAGCGUUAUCCGGGUUUAGUGGGGUUAAAGGGGGCGUAGGUUGUUUUCUAAGUUAGCGGUGAAAUCCCGUUGCUCAACCUCGGGGCUGCCGCUCAUACUGUAGGACUCGAGCUCGUCUGCAGCCGGCGGAAUGUGUCGUGUAGCGG
rnacentral:rRNA from 1 species